UUAUCCUAAGCCACUUGUGCAGCUCUGGAAGGAAUGCACUGCAGUCAACUGUGCAAAAGCUUCAUCUUCAGGGCAGCCAUCAUCAUCACAAGAAAAACAGCCUAGAAACUCGACACCUCAUGAAUUUCCACCUCAGACUGAAGGAGAAUAUGAGAUGGAAACAGGACCUCACCCAAUGGACUUCACAGAUGGCAUUGAAAAAGAG